AGAGUUUGAUCCUGGCUCAGGAUGAACGCUAGCGACAGGCUUAACACAUGCAAGUCGAGGGGCAGCGGGGGAGCAGCAAUGCUCCCGCCGGCGACCGGCGCACGGGUGAGUAACACGUAUGGAACCUGCCCGCAGCAGGGGGAUAAGCGGAAGAAAUUCCGUCUAAUACCGCGUAACACCGCGGAGGGGCAUCCCUCGGCGGUUAAAGAUUCAUCGGCUGCGGAUGGCCAUGCGGCGCAUUAGCUAGUCGGCGGGGUAACGGCCCACCGAGGCGACGAUGCGUAGGGGUUCUGAGAGGAAGGUCCCCCACACUGGUACUGAGACACGGACCAGACUCCUACGGGAGGCAGCAGUGAGGAAUAUUGGUCAAUGGCCGGGAGGCUGAACCAGCCAAGCCGCGUGAGGGAAGACGGCCCUACGGGUUGUAAACCUCUUUUGUCAGGGAGCAAGAGGCGGGUCGGGACCUGCUGUGAGAGUACCCGAAGAAAAAGCAUCGGCUAACUCCGUGCCAGCAGCCGCGGUAAUACGGAGGAUGCGAGCGUUAUCCGGAUUUAUUGGGUUUAAAGGGUGCGCAGGCGGAGGCACAAGUCAGCGGUAAAAUCGCGGGGCUCAACCCCGCUCCGCCGUUGAAACUGUGUCCCUUGAGUGCGCGAAGGGUAGGCGGAAUGCGUGGUGUAGCGGUGAAAUGCAUAGAUAUCACGCAGAACUCCGAUCGCGAAGGCAGCCUACCGGCGCGCAACUGACGCUCAUGCACGAAAGCGUGGGUAUCGAACAGGAUUAGAUACCCUGGUAGUCCACGCAGUAAACGAUGAAUGCUAUCUGUCCGGCCGGAAUGACGGCUGGGUGGCACAGCGAAAGCGUUAAGCAUUCCACCUGGGGAGUACGCCGGCAACGGUGAAACUCAAAGGAAUUGACGGGGGCCCGCACAAGCGGAGGAACAUGUGGUUUAAUUCGAUGAUACGCGAGGAACCUUACCCGGGCUCAAACGACACAGGGAUGCCGCCGAAAGGUGGCAGUCCUUCGGGACCUGUGUCGAGGUGCUGCAUGGUUGUCGUCAACUCGUGCCGUGAGGUGUCGGCUUAAGUGCCAUAACGAGCGCAACCCCCAUCUUCAGUUGCCAUCAGGUAGAGCUGGGCACUCUGGAGAGACUGCCGGCGCAAGCUGCGAGGAAGGCGGGGAUGACGUCAAAUCAGCACGGCCCUUACGUCCGGGGCGACACACGUGUUACAAUGGCAGGUACAGCGGGAAGCCAGGCGGCGACGCCGAGCGGAACCCGAAAACCUGUCUCAGUUCGGAUCGGAGUCUGCAACCCGACUCCGUGAAGCUGGAUUCGCUAGUAAUCGCGCAUCAGCCAUGGCGCGGUGAAUACGUUCCCGGGCCUUGUACUCACCGCCCGUCAAG
rnacentral:rRNA from 1 species